rnacentral:lncRNA from 1 species
GAAAAAGUAAAUAUUUGUUUAUUUAUUAUUUAUACUUAAUUACAUCCACAUGUACAUGCACAAUGCCUCCAAAAAUCCCACCUCAUCACCUCCUGCACAAAAUUCCAUGCAUUAAAUAUUGAAAUUAUAAAUAUAACAAAUAAGAAUAAUUAAUCACCUGGGAUUGACAUUAUAUCCAGAUCUCUCACCAUUCUUUAUUCUAACUUUGAAAGACCAAUUAUUUGAUAAAAGCAUUCUAAACCAUGGAGAAAAGAAAGGAGAUAACAUGUCAAAAAUUAUUGACUUGAAUGUCCACACCCACCUCAAGAAAAAGAGCACACAAGCAACCCCCCCCCACUAAUUCCAAAACCACGCUUGGGAAUAAAUAUAUAUAUAUAUAUAUAUAUAUGUGUGUGUGUGUGUGUGUGUAUUUAUAUAUGAGAAGUUUUGGUCUUUCUUAAUUGUUGUUAUUAUUAAUAAUAUUUUUGUAUUUCGAAUUCAUUCUUAAAUAUUUGAGACAAAUAUAUGUUUUUAAUUUACUAAGGUUUUAUAAAUUUCUGAAAUAAGUACUAAGAGAAAAAUCGAAUAAACAGUAGUAAAUUUUGUGAUUAGAAGAAAACAAUGAUACAAGUAAAAUAACAUGUUCUACUACUAAAAUCACACUUUGAUUAUGGUUGUAGAAAAUCAAGUGUUUUUCUUAUGUAUUAACUUUCAAUUAAUUUUAAUCACAAAAAUCAGUCAAGAUUAGUUGUCAAGAUUAUUCUUCACUCAUCAUAGUUCUACAAAAUAAAUAAGUAAAUAAAACCAAUUUUCAUGCAUCUUCUAUUCUACACAUGUCACACACCCUAAUUUAAUGUUCGUUCAACACUUCAAUUUCAAAAACCAUCAUCUCAUAAAUAACAUGAUUCCAACCUUCUUAUACUAUUUAUUAGUUUUUUUACCCUGCAUAAUUUGAUUAUUUCGGCAAAUUCUUCAUAUUUUUGGCUGAACUCAAAAUUUUAUUCAAUUGUAAUAAAUAAUAUGUCAAUAUUUCAAAAAAAAUCAAAUUUAUAAAACAUAUUUAACAAUGAUUAUCAUAUGCUAAUUAAGAUAUUAUUUCUUCGAUUUUUUAAAAAUGUUGGUUAGAUUUUUAUAUAUAUUUUUCCUUUUUAUUUAAUUUUGUUUUAUUAUUUUAAAAAAAACUUAGAACUAAUUGAUUCUUUUGGAUUCUAAUGGUGAUAAUUUUGAGUUUGCAAAUAUCAAGUUUCUUUACUCUGUAAACUAAUCGCAAUACUUGAGUCAUAAUUACAAAAUUGAUAUAAAUAUUCAAAUAUAUAUAUAUAUAUAUAUAUAUAUAUAUAUAAACAGUGACUCAUUUUCUUUUAUGAUCAUUGUAUGUGUUGCGUCUAAUCUUACAAAGUAUUGUCUCAUGCUUGUUUGUAAUCCCAAAAGAUCAAGUAACAAUACAUGACUCAAUCUAUUUUAAAUUCUACUGUUUUAUCUUGGCAUACAAAAUAUAUAUAAUUUUAAAAUGUUGUGUGUUGUCCACACAAAUUAAAUUUGUAUUCAUAUAUUGUUGAGGUUUAUAAUACUUCAAGGUCAAAUUGCCAAUAAAACUCAUAGUCUUGUGCAUGUUUAUUCAAUCUUGUCAAGCCUUCAAUCCAUACACCAUAACUUGAAUGUUUUUUUCCAGAUAAAUAAAAAUAAUAGCCAUAAUAAUGAACCUAAAAAAAAUAAAGUUAAAAAAUAAUAAUUUAUUUUUGUUUACAGUAACUUCAAAUCCCCUAUACUAUCAUGAAUUGUGAAGAAUUGUCAAAUUUUCAGUUGAUUUUGGUAUUAUAUUGAUGUUAAGUUAAUUAAAGACGUGGAAGCAUAAAGCCUUCUAAAUUUUACUAAAACCGACUUUCUUAGUGUCAAAAAUUGUUUGGUAAUGUUCAAAAGCUGAAAAAAAUUCCAUUACUAAUUAUUUGAUUGAUUUAAUAGUGUCUUUAGUUUUUUCUUAAUCAAUACAAUAAAGUGAUGCUAUCAAUUUGUAGUUCAAUUCGUUUUUAUAUUUUAAAGUUGAGGAUAAUAGACAAUUUCAAGUUAUUUCAAACUCUAAUUCAAAAUAAUUUACUUUUAUUUAUUUGUUUUAAAUUUUUCUCAAAUUUCUUCUCUGUUGAUUCCAUAUGUGUCUAUCUUGCCUUCUAACCAGCAUUCUAUUUAUUUUAUAAAAAAUAGAAUUCGAAAAUAUUUCUUUUAUUUAAUUAAUUUUGAAAAUAUAAACUUAAAUUAAAUUUGGUUACAGGUACAACAUUCAAUAUUUUUCAACAUUGUGUGUGAUGCAAAUGUCGUGGCAUUUAAAUGUAUGCUAGCCAUUUUAUAAUUUAGAAUUUAAUAUUUAUAAAAAAUCCUUCUACAUGUGAAGCUUAUCAAUUUUUCUAUAAUUAGAAUCAGUGUUUCGUAUGGCACGUUUUAAAUCUUUUAUUUCAUAUCGUCUAUUACUAUUGACUGGCUUUUGAAUUUCGAGUUUAAUUAUGAUCU